rnacentral:rRNA from 1 species
GACGAACGCUGGCGGCGUGCUUAACACAUGCAAGUCGAGCGGUAAGGCCCUUUCGGGGGUACACGAGCGGCGAACGGGUGAGUAACACGUGGGUGACCUGCCCUCAGCUCUGGGAUAAGCCCGGGAAACUGGGUCUAAUACUGGAUAUUACUCUGCGGUGCAUGCCGUGGGGGUGGAAAGCCUUGUGCGGCUGGGGAUGGGCCCGCGGCCUAUCAGCUUGUUGGUGGGGUGAUGGCCACCAAGGCGACGACGGGUAGCCGGCCUGAGAGGGCGACCGGCCACACUGGGACUGAGACACGGCCCAGACUCCUACGGGAGGCAGCAGUGGGGAAUCUUGCGCAAUGGGCGAAAGCCUGACGCAGCGACGCCGCGUGAGGGAUGACGGCCU